CCUGACUUCACCAACCCAGAGACCAGACAGUGGUGGGAAGACUGCAUCAGAGGUUUUCAUUCUAAAGUGCCUGUGGAUGGACUGUGGAUUGAUAUGAAUGAACCAGCCAAUUUUGUCCAGGGCUCAAUGGAGGGCUGUCCUCACACUGAUCUUGAAGACCCGCCUUACACACCUAGAGUAGUCGG